GUUGCCAUCAGGUAAUGCUGGGGACUCUAAAGGAACUGCCUACGGCAAGUAGUGAGGAAGGCGGGGAGUGACGUCAAAUCAGCACGGCCCUUACGUCCAGGGCUACACACGUGCUACAAUGGCCGAUACAGAGGGCAGCUACCUGGUGACAGGAUGCAAAUCUCCAAAGUCGGUCUCAGUUCGGAUCGGAGUCUGCAACCCGACUCCGUGAAGUUGGAUUCGCUAGUAAUCGCGCAUCAGCCAUGGCGCGGUGAAUACGUUCCCGGGCCUU
rnacentral:rRNA from 1 species